GUUCGUCAGCGACGGGGCUGCGUUCGGGUUCCUUCGGCUGGGCUCGAGUAUUUCCGCUCGUGCGGGGCGUCCCUCGGUCACUUCCGGAAACGUUCGAGGUUCCUGGCAGGGGACGGUGUCGCCGCCAUCUUUAAGUGGGGCAGAUGCAGUCCGCCUCACUCGCGCUCCGGCCAUUCCCACUUGCCCUACUGCAAACCGCGGCGGGGGGUGGUCAAAUGAGGCCCUUGUCCCGGAGGUCAGACAGGGGCAUGGUGAUGCCGGGGCCAGGGCCUGGGGUGAGGCCAGGGGUGUUGUCUGGAGGGUGAGGGAUGGAGCACCCUCAUGUCCCAUCGCAAACCCCAACCACCCGCUCGCGGAGAUGCUAGUUGAGCUAAAGUAACCAAACACCUAUUGUACCAGAGAACGGCCAGCAUGGUGAAGUGUUAUGCGGGGAACUUAGGGGGCGGGGUCCCGCGGCGCCGCCACGGGCGCGGUGGGCGGGCCCAGCUUCUCCCCCAAUCACGGCUCAGCAUGCUCCGGAGGGCGGGAGGCAGCGACGUGGGUGGUUCCGCAAUUUCCGGCGUCACCGCAGAAAUCUUCCGGCCGGUGAGGAGGUGGGUCGCGAGCGCAGGACCGGGGUGGGCAGCUCUAGCGGGGCGCCCGGAGCAUUGUGGGAGACGCAGCCCGCCGGUCUCAGGCGCGCGGAUCUCAGCUCCGCGCAGUCGCUCGGACGCCCUCCUCGUCCUCGGACGGACCGGCAGCCGCCGCACACCCUCCCUCACCCGGCGAGUUACCGCGGCCUCGGCGGAGGCUGUGCCCCGCAUCAAAUCCCCAAAGAUGAAGAGAAAAGGAAACACCACUGACGUUUUGUCCUCUGGAAAGCAGAGGGGCAGAUGACUGUAGAGACUGGAGAAGGCGAACACCAAGUCAGCAGCGGGGGAACAAAUAAAAUCAACCUGUUUUACCCCAAAGAAGAUUCAGGAAGUUCAGGAGUCGGAGGUACCAGGCACAUCUGGCCGUUCAGGGUGAGGGGUGCCAUGCAGGUCAGGGAGACUGAUAGCAGCUGGGCAGGGCAAGGGCAAGGACCAGCUCUAGGCUGUCUGCACAGGAUGCUGAGCGGACAGCGGGCUCUGCUGUCGCUUGGAUUCUGGGUCUCCUCCCAUCCUGGCAAAAGGCUGGGUUGAGGCAGGAGACCAACUGAGGAAGUUAAGGGGUUAAGUGAAGUCACACUGUGUGCUGAGCAGCAGCCUCUCCUGGGAUACUGGCAGAAGGCUGGAAGUGCCUUCUUGGGGGGCUCGGGUGCCCCAAACCAGUCAGAGUACCCGACAGAUCCGUCACUGGCACCCCCUCUCCCCACUCAUAUCCCCCAAGAUGUGGGUCUUGGGGAGUGAUGCCUCCAUGUCCUUCCCAGCCCCUCACCCACCUGCUCAGAGCCCCCAGAUUGGUGGUCCCCGUCUUAAAUGUAAGCAGACAACUUGGAGGGAACAGAGACCAUAUUGGGAGAAGAAAACCUAGAACAAGUUACUGCUAUUCUCAGAGAAAUAAGGAAAGACACUGUAACUGUGAGGACAACAGGAAGUGGCUAUGAAAACGAAAGCUCAGGGAAUGGAACCUCCUGGAAGUUAAAACCAACAAGCAGAUACGAGCGUCUCCACGGAGGGUCUGGAAGAUGUCAGUGAAGAACUCUGGAUGACAGAAUACAAAGAAAGGGACGAUGGUCAGAGUGAGAAGAACAUGGAGUCGGAACGAAACAAUGAGAAGGAAAUCAAAGAAACCACUCCAGCCAGUGUCCCACGAUCGAAUGUGCUUUUCAGAUGGGUAAGGCUCACCAACAUGUGAUACAGAAACCUGUGAGCGCGUUAAUAAAACGAAUCCUUUGUCCAGGAAA